rnacentral:tRNA from 1 species
GGGCAAUUAGUUCAAUGGUAGAACGCAGUCCUGAUAAGACUGAGGCCGGAGGUUCGAUCCCUCCAUUGCCCA